rnacentral:rRNA from 1 species
UACGAAGGGGGCUAGCGUUGCUCGGAAUCACUGGGCGUAAAGGGUGCGUAGGCGGGUCUUUAAGUCAGGGGUGAAAUCCUGGAGCUCAACUCCAGAACUGCCAUUGAAACUGUUAGACUUGAGGACGAGAGAGGUGAGUGGAAUUCCCAGUGUAGAGGUGAAAUUCGUAGAUAUUGGGAAGAACACCGGUGGCGAAGGCGGCUCACUGGCUCGUAUCUGACGCUCAGGCGCGACAGCGUGGGGAUCAAACAGG